rnacentral:rRNA from 1 species
GAUGAACGCUGGCGGCGUGCCUAAUACAUGCAAGUCGAGCGAACGGACGAGAAGCUUGCUUCUCUGAUGUUAGCGGCGGACGGGUGAGUAACACGUGGAUAACCUACCUAUAAGACUGGGGUAACUUCGGGAAACCGGAGCUAGUACAGGUUAAUAUUUUGAACCGCAUGGUUCAAAAGUGAAAGAGGUACUUGCUGUCCCUUAUAGAUGGAUCCGCGCUGCAUUAGCUAGUUGGUAAGGUAACGGCUUACCAAGGCAACGAUGCAUAGCCGACCUGAGAGGGUGAUCAGCCACACUGGAACUGAGACACGGUCCAGACUCCUACGGGAGGCAGCAGUAGGGAAUCUUCCGCAAUGGGCGAAAGCCUGACGGAGCAACGCCGCGUGAGUGAUGAAGGUCUUCGGAUCGUAAAACUCUGUUAUUAGGGAAGAACAUAUGUGUAAGUAACUGUGCACAUCUUGACGUUACCUAAUCAGAAAGCCACGGCUAACUACGUG